rnacentral:rRNA from 1 species
AUACGUAGGGGGCGAGCGUUGUCCGGAAUGAUUGGGCGUAAAGGGCGCGUAGGCGGCCCGGUAAGUCUGGAGUGAAAGUCCUGUUUUUAAGAUGGGAAUUGCUUUGGAUACUGUCGGGCUUGAGUGCAGGAGAGGUAAGUGGAAUUUCCAGUGCAGCGGUGAAAUGCGUAGAGAUUGGGAGGAACACCAGUGGCGAAGGCGACUUACUGGACUGUAACUGACGCUGAGGCGCGAAAGUGUGGGGAGCAAACAGGAUUAGAUACCCUGGUAGUCCACACUGUAAACGAUGAAUGCUAGGUGUAGGGGGUAUCGACCCCUUCUGUGCCGCAGUCAACACAAUAAGCAUUCCGCCUGGGGAGUACGGCCGCAAGGUUGAAACUCAAAGGAAUUGACGGGG